rnacentral:rRNA from 1 species
AUUGAACGCUGGCGGCAGGCCUAACACAUGCAAGUCGAGCGGAUGAAGGGAGCUUGCUCCUGGAUUCAGCGGCGGACGGGUGAGUAAUGCCUAGGAAUCUGCCUGGUAGUGGGGGAUAACGUCCGGAAACGGGCGCUAAUACCGCAUACGUCCUGAGGGAGAAAGUGGGGGAUCUUCGGACCUCACGCUAUCAGAUGAGCCUAGGUCGGAUUAGCUAGUUGGUGGGGUAAAGGCCUACCAAGGCGACGAUCCGUAACUGGUCUGAGAGGAUGAUCAGUCACACUGGAACUUAGACACGGUCCAGACUCCUACGGGAGGCAGCAGUGGGGAAUAUUGGACAAUGGUCGAAAGCCUUAUCCAACCAUGCCGCGUGUGUGAAGAAGGUCUUCUGAUUGUAAAGCACUUUAAGUUGGGAGAAAGGGCAGUAAGUUAAUACCUUGCUGUUUUGACGUUACCAACAGAAUAAGCACCGGCUAACUUCGUG